rnacentral:rRNA from 1 species
GUCCACGCCCUAAACGAUGUCAACUGGUUGUUGGGAGGGUUUCUUCUCAGUAACGAAGCUAACGCGUGAAGUUGACCGCCUGGGGAGUACGGCCGCAAGGUUGAAACUCAAAGGAAAUUGACGGGGACCCGGCACAAGCGGUGGAUGAUGUGGUUUAAAUUCGAUGCAACGCGAAAAACCUUAACCUACCCUUGACAUGUCUGAAAUCCUGGAGAGAUUCGGGAGUGCUCGAAAGAGAAUCAGAACACAGGUGCUGCAUGGCCGUCGU